UAAUAACCAAAUAUGGCAAAAUUUACUUUAAAUUACUAAUUCAAUCCUUUAAUUCAGUGGUUGUCGUUUGUUUAUGUGUUACAUAUUUGUUUUUCGUUCAUUUUCGUUCAUUUUUUUUACAUAAAUAAGGCCGUUAGUUUUCUCGUUUGAAUUGUUUGACAGCUUAUAAUUGUUUGGCCUUUUAUAGCUGACUAUGCGGUAUGGGAUUUGAUCAUUGUUGAAGGCCGUACGGUGACCUAUAGUUAAUGUCUGUGUCAUUUUGGUCUUUUGUGGAUAGUUGUCUCAUUGGUAAUCAUACCACAUCUUCUUUUUUAUAUCAGGGACAGCAACCUAACAACGGGUUGUCCGAUUCAUCUGGCUUCAAAAUUCAGGGCAGAUAGAUCUUGACCUGAUUAACAUUUUUACCCCAUGUCAGAUUUACUCUAAAUGCUUUUGUUUCAGAGAUAUAAGCCAAAAUCUACAUUUUACCCCUAUGUUCUAUUUUUAGCCAUGGCGAUCA
rnacentral:lncRNA from 1 species